AUUGAACGCUGGCGGCAUGCCUUACACAUGCAAGUCGAACGGUAACAGGUCUUCGGACGCUGACGAGUGGCGAACGGGUGAGUAAUGCAUCGGAACGUGCCCAGUCGUGGGGGAUAACUGCUCGAAAGAGCAGCUAAUACCGCAUACGACCUGAGGGUGAAAGCGGGGGACCGUAAGGCCUCGCGCGAUUGGAGCGGCCGAUGUCAGAUUAGCUAGUUGGUGGGGUAAAGGCCUACCAAGGCAACGAUCUGUAGUUGGUCUGAGAGGACGACCAGCCACACUGGGACUGAGACACGGCCCAGACUCCUACGGAAGGCAGCAGUGGGGAAUUUUGGACAAUGGGCGCAAGCCUGAUCCAGCAAUGCCGCGUGCAGGAAGAAGGCCUUCGGGUUGUAAACUGCUUUUGUCAGGGAAGAAAUCUUCUGGGCUAAUACCCCGGGAGGAUGACGGUACCUGAAGAAUAAGCACCGGCUAACUACGUG
rnacentral:rRNA from 1 species